rnacentral:rRNA from 1 species
ACGGAGGAGGCAAGCAUUGUCCGGAAUUAUUGGGCGUAAAGAACACGUAGGCGGUUUGUCAAGUCAUAUGUGAAAACCUUGGGCUUAACUUAAGGAUUGCAUAUGAUACUGGCAAACUAGAGUAUAGUAGAGGAAAGCGGAAUUCCUGGUUGGGGGUGAAAGGGCUUAGUCCUGGGAGGGUGCACAGUGGCGAAGGCGGCUAACUGGAAUGGUCCUGACGGUGAGUUGUGAAAGCUAGGGGCGCGAACGG